rnacentral:rRNA from 1 species
GACGAACGCUGGCGGCGUGCUUAACACAUGCAAGUCGUACGGUAAGGCCCUUUCGGGGGUACACGAGUGGCGAACGGGUGAGUAACACGUGAGUAACCUGCCCACAACUUUGGGAUAACGCUAGGAAACUGGUGCUAAUACUGGCUAUGUGCUCCUGCUGCAUGGUGGGGGUUGGAAAGCUCCGGCGGUUGUGGAUGGACUCGCGGCCUAUCAGCUUGUUGGUGGGGUAGUGGCCUACCAAGGCGGCGACGGGUAGCCGGCCUGAGAGGGUGACCGGCCACAUUGGGACUGAGAGACGGCCCAGACUCCGACGGGAGGCAGCAGUGGGGAAUAUUGCACAAUGGGCGCAAGCCUGAUGCAGCAACGCCGCGUGCGGGAUGACGGCCUUCGGGUUGUAAACCGCUUUCAGCAGGGACGAAGCUUUUUGUGACGGUACCUGCAGAAGAAGCACCGGCUAACUACGUG